CCCAGACUCCUACGGGAGGCAGCAGUGGGGAAUAUUGCACAAUGGGGGAAACCCUGAUGCAGCGACGCCGCGUGAGUGAAGAAGUAAUUCGUUAUGUAAAGCUCUAUCAGCAGGGAAGAAACAGACGGUACCUGAGUAAGAAGCCCCGGCUAACUACGUGCCAGCAGCCGCGGUAAUACGUAGGGGGCAAGCGUUAUCCGGAUUUACUGGGUGUAAAGGGAGCGUAGACGGCGAUGCAAGUCUGAAGUGAAAGGCGGGGGCCCAACCCCCGGACUGCUUUGGAAACUGUAUGGCUGGAGUGCAGGAGAGGUAAGUGGAAUUCCUAGUGUAGCGGUGAAAUGCGUAGAUAUUAGGAGGAACACCAGUGGCGAAGGCGGUUUACUGGGCUGUAACUGACGUUGAGGCUCGAAAGCGUGGGGAGCAAACAGGAU
rnacentral:rRNA from 1 species